AGGAGGAGGAGUCUUGGAGGGGGAAGAGGGAGACAGGAAUUUUGGGGAUCUGAAUGGGGUCACGAGAGAGAUGGAGCAUUUUUAAUGAAAGCGAUGGAUUUUUUUCAAAAACCACCCUGCGGACGAAUUUUAGGCGGAAUGCGUACGCGUUUGUGCGUACCUGAAAUGCAUAGUCCGGUUCUAGUGCGCACAAAUGCGUACGUGUUUAUGUGCUGCAGGGGGGUUUUUGAAAAAUAUCCACCCAUUUUAGCCUCUCGUGACCACUCUUUCUCGUGACCACUAUUCCCUAGAGAACUCCCCAGACCAUCACCCUCUCUCUCCCCAAACCCUCCUCCCUCUCUCUCUCUCCAAACCCUCACCCCGUCGGAGACCCUCCCUCCUCCCUCUCUUGACACCGUCGUCGGCGCAUUUCCACCGUCGACCUCCUCCUCCGACUCCCCCCCCAACUCCCCAGGCCCUCGCCCAUUUUCUGCGCUGCGGCGAUCACGCCGUCGAGCUCCUCCUCCGUGAUCUAGCCGUUGACCUCCUCCUCCGCCUUCACGCCUCCUCCUCCGCGAUCUCGCCGUCGACCUCCUCAGGUGAAAUCCCCAUCCCGUCCCAGGCCAAAACGAGGUUCCUCUGCCCCCCUUCCUCCUCAGCGAGCCCCAACGCCGGCACGACACCGUCGCCGUGAGAUCCCCUGUCCCAGGACCAGAUCGAGGUCCCUCUGCCCCCCUCCUCCUCCGCUACAGGGUGUUUGUGGUACAAGACUUGUCACGGAUUGGGUUAUUGCAGUGCUUGCUUUGAAAUUCUUAGUGAUGAGAAUAUAAAAGGGAUCUAGACAUGUUUCUUAUGAGCAGAAGGCACAUACAUGUCACCCUGCUAGGAAAAUGGAUGCUUACAACUCUUGGACAACCUUAAAUUCAUGAACUGGAUGCUUGUGUCAUGUCAUCCUAUAUAGGAACCCUGUGAAUCCUCUGAAAGCACUCAGAAUAGUUCCAAGAAGAGGAAGGUUGAUGAGUUUUCAUUUCAUUUCAAAAACAUAAAGACCCGAAACCAACUCCUGCCAUUGAAGAGCCGCGUAUCCUAUGCUGGACCACUUCCAAAGAUGCAGCAGCGAAUCCUGCAAAUGAAGAGCCAUGCUUUUCAGGUCGGGCUACUGAAGCA